GUCGGUGGCGGCGAGGAAGGCCAGGGAAGAGGAGGAGAGCGCGCUGGAGAGGGCGAGGGAGGGCCGAGAGCAGCUGGCCAGAUACAACGCGCAGCUGGCCCAGGAGCAGAGACUGCACCAGCAGUACCUGGAGAAGGAGCUGUACACCAACCAGCCUACAGCUCACUACUUCACACAGUUCAACACCUCCUCACGCUGACGCACAUAGAGCUAGACACACACACCGAUGGCCACACACACACACACUGACGGCCAGAUACAAAGCUAUAUUCACACACACUCAGGUAUCCACAGACACUAGCUCACCAAGUUUAUAAUCCCAGUUCUCCUGUCAUCGAGCCUACCAGCACAGAGCUGAAUAAAGUCUAGGAUGGCGCUGAAGCACUCUGGUU